UUAUGUAAAUAAUAGAAUCAUCAACUUUUACUGACAUGUGAGUGUAUCAUUUAUUAGUCUCUGUGCCCCUGUCAGUCCCUGCAGAUGAUGAGCAGUGUUUUCAGUGUUGGAAUGGGAAUUCUUUUUGCUGCAACGCAGGAUAUGGAUCAGUCUCUUUUCACUCUAUUCAGAGUUUCCCACCUCACCGGAAUACUUUUUCAUCAUCGCUGGAGUUGUGUCCAACCUGUUGUUCAAAUAUCCAGGAUUACUACAUUUGUCCCUCAACAUUAACUGUGGCUGCAUUAUUGUAGCUGCAAUUGCAGCUUAUAUGAUCACUGUUGACCUGGCUGAUUGGAAUUCAGCCAAUCAACAUCAUUUGAAGAUGGAGGUGAUGGAACUUUGUGUGUUGUUACUGGAAGUCGUACUCUCUGCAAUCCUCUGCUUCUGGUUCUCUAAAGAGAAACAUGCCGAAUCACCAUGAUCGGUUAAAAAUGACUUGUUUCAUUUGCACAGCGGUUUGAGAAUUUAUUCUUUAAAUAAAGUGUUUGCAUUUAGAGUGAACAAUGGGCUGUAUAUAAGUUAAGAUACUGUAUUAGCACAAG